rnacentral:rRNA from 1 species
UACGUAGGGUGCGAGCGUUGUCCGGAAUUACUGGGCGUAAAGGGCGCGUAGGCGGCCUGAUAAGUCGGGGGUGAAAGUCAGCGGCUCAACCGCUGGACUGCCUUCGAGACUGUCGGGCUUGAGCAUGGUAGAGGCUGGCGGAAUUCCCGGUGUAGCGGUGGAAUGCGUAGAGAUCGGGAAGAACAUCGGUGGCGAAGGCGGCCAGCUGGGCCAUUGCUGACGCUGAGGCGCGACAGCGUGGGGAGCAAACAGG